rnacentral:rRNA from 1 species
ACGGCUCAGUAACACGUAGAUAAUUUGCCCUUAGGUGGAGGAUACCCUCGGGAAACUGAGAAUAAUACUCCAUAGAUCUAGACUGCUGGAAUGCUUUUAGAUUGAAAGAUUCAUCGCCUAAGGAUAAGUCUGCGGACUAUCAGGUUGUAGUUAGGGUAAAGACCUGACUAGCCUACGACGGAUACGGGUAGUGAGAGCUUUAGCCCGGAGAUGAUAUCUGAGACACGAUAUCAGGCCCUACGGGGCGCAGCAGGCGCGAAAACUUCGCACUGUGCGAAAGCACGACGAGGGAAUCCCAAGUGCUGGCUCGUAAGAGCCAGCUGUUUCUCUGUCUAAAACGCAGGGAGAGUAAGGGCUGGGUAAGACGGGUGCCAGCCGCCGCGGUAAUACCUGCAGCUCAAGUGGUGGCCGCUAUUAUUGGGCCUAAAACGUCCGUAGCCGGUUCUAUAAAUGCCUGGGUAAAUCGUACGGCUUAACCGUACGAAUUCCGGGUAGACUGUUUAACUUGGGACCGGGAGAGGCUAGAGGUACUCCUGGGGUAGAGGUGAAAUUCUGUAAUCCUAGGGGGACCACCAGUGGCGAAGGCGUCUAGCUAGAACGGGUCUGACGGUGAGGGACGAAGCCCUGGGGAGCAAACGGGAUUAGAUACCCCGGUAGUCCAGGGUGUAAACGCUGCUCGCUUGAUGUUAGUCGGGCUCCGAGCCCAACUAGUGUCGGAGAGAAGUUGUUAAGCGAGCUGCCUGGGGAGUACGGUCGCAAGACUGAAACUUAAAGGAAUUGGCGGGGAGCAC